GACGUAGGGGGCCAGCGUUGUUCGGAAUUACUGGGUGUAAAGGGUUCGUAGGCGGUGCGGCAAGUUGGGAGUGAAAUCUCUGGGCUUAACCCAGAGGCUGCUUCCGAAACUGCUGUGCUUGAGUGUGGGGAGAGGCGCGUGGAAUUGCAGGUGUAGCGGUGAAAUGCGUAGAUAUCUGCAGGAACACCCGUGGCGAAAGCGGCGCGCUGGACCACUACUGACGCUGAGGAACGAAAGCUAGGGGAGCAAACAGG
rnacentral:rRNA from 1 species